AAGAAAAAUCAGAUAAUUAAAAUUCAGUGGCAACUAUUGUAAAUAAGUACCAACUCCAAGAUUUAUUUCACAAAAUGGCUGCAAAAUGUAUAUGUAGAUAUUUAGCUUAAGGAGGAGUCUAAAUUUAACUUUAGAAUU
rnacentral:sRNA from 1 species